CUUAAACUUCACUUGUUCCAAGUUUCAAUCCUAUCGAUUAAAUAGAACAGGUUCUAACAUGGGGUUGAAAAGAUUACACGUAAAACCCUAUGACCCGAGAUUUAAAAAAAUGCACUGUGAGUGUUCCUACAUCUAGUAUACCCGGAAAUGCCAAAACUGAAAAUAUUUUAGUUGUUUGUCCCUCAGUGACCGUGCCAUGUUUCAAUAUUUUGCUAUAAUCUAUCGAUGCAGUUCCCGAAGGACCAUAUGUGAGAACAGAAAUAGCUUUAAAAUUAAGGCACAAAUCGACCUGCAAACAUUCUUAGAGACGUUUUGUUUAGUCUCAAAAAAUACAUCGUGUGUCCUAAAAACUGUUUCUAUGGUUUCUUACUGUAAUUUUAAUAAAUGAAAUGUAUUUAUUUAUUUAUUUAAGAGAUUAUUAAGAUUUAUUUAUAGGUUGAUAUAAUUUUAUAUUCUAUAUUAAUUUAGCUUUUUAUUAGUUAAAUCUUAAUAGUUCAAUCAAUUUAAUAUUUGUAAAUUUUGGUUAUAAAAUGUAUAUAUAUAUUUUGUACAUAUUUAUUAGGUAUGAAUUAUAACUGAUAUCUCCACAA